GCGAUGUUUUGGAUUUUCUUCUAACUUCAAUUUUUUCAGGUUGGCAGAGAUGUUGCUACAUGAAGCUAAUGCAGUUUGGGGGUCUGAACGAUAGAAGUUGAAGUAAUCACCAGUUUUUAUGCCAACGCCACUGACAUAAAGCAACUACAGUGAAGUGGUAGAUGGAGCAAGGAGUUUGACAGGGAUGAGCAGACGAACCAUAAAUCAAAGCAUAGGACACAGUGAAGGAUGUUCUUGUUUUAAGGAAUUCAUAUUUCUUCGUUACAAGAACAUAUGCAGCAACAAUAAGACAAUUUACUAGCCAAUAUAGAAAGUAGUCAUGAGCAUUACCCUACAACUCCAUGGUAUUCCAAGGACGUAAUCCACCUUGGCUUCUCUGACCCGAUAGAGAUUUUUCUACGUUUUGUAACCCCGAUGUACAGAUCAGAAGAAUCAGCAUGAUUUCCUAACUGUCACAUAUUCAUUUCAAAAACAUAUACAAGUACUUGUAAGAAUGCAUGAUAUAUCAACAGUUCUAAAAUUCUCAGAUUUAGAAAUUCACUUGUAAUAUUUUUGAUUCACUAGUCGAAUGUAAAACAUUUCAAGUCAACUGGCACUUUCUGCAUGCA